AUCAUUUCUGAUAUCUUACCAGCGGUAGGUGCUUGGGGUACGCGCAACCUGAAGCAGAGCAACAGUUCAAAUGGAUCACAAAAUAACUUUGUUAGCUUGUUUCGUCGUCAUGGCAAUUCUCUUAGCGCCCUCUACAGCCAAGGAGAAUUCAGCAGACGCAUUGAAAGAAUACCUUAACAUUUCAAUGGGUAGGAGUGUAGACAAACGUGGAACCGGGAACCAGCGGUUUAAAGCCUGUAGGCAUCCUCUGUACGGCAGAGCAUUCAACUGCCGAUGUGACGUCACGAAAAGUGCUCGCGAUCCACGGUACAUGCGGUGUGUCAUGCCCGAUUCCGAAGUCUAAAAAGGAUAAUGCGAGUGGCACCUGAAAGUUUCUACGCUACCGUUUUCUCAGCUUCAAUAAAAUGAUGUCGCGCUGAUUUUUAAAUCAGAUUUUCUAAAUAAAAGCCCUUUGAAAUCAACUUUAUAAAGGCUUUUGCUUGGAUAUUUCCACACGCAGCUCCUUAUACUUCCGUCCAUUACAAUAACUCAUGGACGGAUCUCUGGUUAUAAUGUAGUCUGCCUAACGUGGUGCACUUCGACGUUGUUUUUUUAUGCAGUGUUGUCAACCUCUUUGUUGACAAACUUUGUAUUCAUUCAGUAAUAAAUACUGGUAUUUUUACCAUAAAAAAUGCUUGCUUUUUAACCUUUGUGAACAAUUUUAGCGUCAUGAAAUUUAGUCUGGAAUUCAAACAUUUUGGCGUCUGAAAAUGGAGCUCAUAAUUGGCCAAGAGUUUCAUAACGUGGCGCACUUGAACAAAUCUCAAAAUACGUUCCAACUUAACAUUUAAGAAUUUCCUUUAAGUUGACAUAUUCUGAUGAACCAUUAUUAUUUUCACUCUUAUACUCUACUACAAGUUUGUCGGACAUUUUUUUCUUAUUUUUGGGCGCAUUUUUCAAGGGUUCAUUGGGCACUUCAAACUAAAACCGGAAAAUCACGCCAAAAUUAAUUUCUGUGUUAACUUUAAACGGGUGGGUAAACUCAAGAUUUAUGAACGGGAAUGCUUGGAGCUUGAUGAGAUUUUUACUUACUGUGAAAUUUGAGGUAAAACAUUUGCUCUAGCUUGGCACUAAAGGACGAGAAAUCAAAGUGCGCCACGUUAAGGGGCCGCGCCACGUUAAGGGGCAUCAACAGUUUUAUAAAGAGAAAUCCGUCCUUGUUUUUUCCUUGUUUUGAGAAAUUGCAAUUGUUUCAGCAAAUGAGGGCGCUGGGGACGCAUUUGCCUGGGUACAAUGAAUACAUAAUAAUGUGUAUUAAACCCUUUUUCGUUUUACUGAAAUCUAAAUGUUAAACAAUGUAAAAUCAUAUUGUAAAACGUUAUUCCAACAUGGAAACCUACAUCAAUAACCUGGGUUUCAUGUCUGAUUGUACCCGCCGGUCAAAAUGACGUCUUUGUUGUGCCCCCUAAGUUCGCUAAAAUUAUGACUUUGUUAUUUUGUGACUUGAGAACUUGCCAAGUACACCGCCCUUUGUUUUAAAUAACUGCCUUAAUAAUUCGGUCUUAUUGUUUAGAUUUUAAUGAUUAUAGAGAUGAAUAUUUUGAUAAUCGAGAUGAUUUUUGAUGGGGGUUUUACUAAGGUGAAUAAAAUGGAAUUAGCAUUAUGGUCUAUUCAUCAUAUUUCAAAGUUGUAAUUCUUAGGUAAUGCCUAAGCUAAAUGAAGCAUGAUGCAGCAAAUAUGGUUAACAUUACUGAAAAUGUGCAGGGGGUGUUUUUGUUAGGCUCAUUUAUUUAAAAAUGGGAAGUGCUUCAGGGGCGGAUCAAGGUUUUUUGCAGGGGGAGUUUUCAUCAGUAAAUCAAUGCUGAAAUGUAGACAGGUGUUUUGUCCAGACACUUGGCUC